rnacentral:rRNA from 1 species
UACGUAGGUGGCGAGCGUUGUCCGGAUUUACUGGGUGUAAAGGGCGUGUAGGCGGGGAAACAAGUCAGAUGUGAAAUCCCGGGGCUUAACUCCGGAGCUGCAUCUGAAACUGUUUUUCUUGAGUGCUGGAGAGGAAAGUGGAAUUCCCAGUGUAGCGGUGAAAUGCGUAGAGAUUGGGAGGAACGCCAGUGGCGAAGGCGGCUUUCUGGACAGUAACUGACGCUGAGUCGCGAAAGCGUAGGGAGCAAACAGG